UACAGAGGUCUCAAGCGUUGUUCGGAUUCAUUGGGCGUAAAGGGUGCGUAGGCGGCGCGGUAAGUCGGGUGUGAAAUCUCGGGGCUUAACUCCGAAACUGCAUUCGAUACUGCCGUGCUUGAGGACUGGAGAGGAGAUUGGAAUUCCUGGUGUAGCGGUGGAAUGCGCAGAUAUCAGGAGGAACACCGGUGGCGAAGGCGGAUCUCUGGGCCUUGCCUGACGCUGAGGCGCGAAAGCUAGGGGAGCGAACAGG
rnacentral:rRNA from 1 species